CGAAAGCACGUGYGAUCACGGAACCAAUCAAAACCAGUGAAGUUAUCAUAUGACCCAAUCAUAGUAAGAGAUGUCUCUAGUAGAUCAUUCCUGAGAACUUAAUUCGUUUAUCGUAAAGAUUCGUAUCAUACGACAUAGGAAAACCCGAAAGAUAUCAUAGGCUCUUCCACUAGCAUCACGGAAUCCUCAUCAGUUGGUAGCAGCUAUCCUAGAGGUAUUUAAAACAAUGGUUUGUCUAAGCCUAUUAUGUCGGUGUUUAAAUAGUCCUAAUCAAGUACUUCUAGCCCACAACAGUUUCCGAAAUUUUGUUAUUGUUUACUGUUAAUUGAAGUCGAGGAUUGUUGAUAGUGUGGAGCUGAAAAUCCCUUGGGAACGGCGGAGACUAAAGUAAGAUGUCACUAGAUACUUGCGCAAAUAUAAUAUAAUGCCAUGAAUUUAGUAAAGGGAUGACCUUGUAGUUUGACACCAACGUGCUGACGGAGACAUUGAAGCAAGAGUUUUCCUGGAACGUAACAUUUUCUCUUUGUUUUCUUUUUGUGUAGGCCAUUUUGAGGCUGUCGAAGCGCUUGGGAGAUGGCAAUAGCGAUGAAAUCCUACUCUUUAGUGUUCAUUUGUAUCUGUAUUACCUGGGAGAAGCAUUGUCAAGGAGAGUCAAAAUCGUCUGCAGUCAUCGUUUCUACAAAAUAUGGGCUGCUUAAGGGACAAACUAGGUAUUUUCCUCAGCCUGUAGGAAACAUAUCUGUCGUUAAUAAGUUUCUAGGUGUACCGUACGCUGCUCCUCCAAUUGGGGAGCUGAGAUUUCUUCCUCCGCAAAAACCYAAACAUUGGAAAGGAGUCUACGAUGCCACUCGGUUCAAACCAGUCUGCUAUCAGGAUCCAUCUUAUAAUCAAAUGUUUUGGAAAAAAGAUGUCAAUUGGUCACAGAGCGACGAUUGUUUGUAUCUAAACGUCUAUGCGCCCAGUACUACCUUAUCGCAUGCACGCUAUCCCGUGAUGGUCUACAUCCACGGAGGUGGUUAUGAGGCAGGAUCUCCAGUGGUCAGCCCUGGUGAUGCUCUACCCAUGUGGGAAGUCGUACUGGUGACAAUUCAAUAUCGCCUUGGGCCUUUUGGCUUCAUUAGCACUGGUGACUCCGCCGCACCUGGAAAUUACGGGAUGCUGGAUCAGAUCGAGGCUUUAAAAUGGAUUCAGCUCACUAUCGAAGCGUUCAAAGGCGAUCCGUCGAGAGUGACAAUAUUCGGUGAGAGUGCGGGUGGCUCCAGUGUUGGUCUUCUACUUCUGUCACCUCUCAGUACAGGACUUUUCCACAGAGCUAUCGCUCUUAGUGGGAACGACUUCUCUCCUUUUGCGGUYAACGGGCGGGAAGAAGCAGUUGGUUUGACACAAGGAAUAGCUGAGCGCAUUAAGUGUCCAAUUGGAGACAAUGCUAAGAUGAUUAGCUGUAUGCGUCGAGCUGACGCUAAUUCAAUUUGGUUGUCGCAUGAUGCAAACAAAUGGCGUCCCGUAGUCGAUGGAAUUUUCUUGGAAGACACCCCUCAGAAUAUUAGAAAGGCCAACAAAUCUCACCCCUAUCCUCUAAUCGUAGGGUUAACAAGCAAUGAGGGGGCAUAUUUUUUGGCAGAAAGGGUUUACAAUAAUAUAGACUCCACAACGUUCCGUUCAUAUUUAAUGGCCUUUUUUGGAGACAUCAGUAGAUAUUCCCGAAAGUGGCGACCAUUUGACGUUUCUGAGAGCUUGAAAGACGCAAUAGUUUUUCAAUACACCCCUUGGCCUGAYACAAAAAAUAUAACUCGACUAAGACGAGGGUUAAUUGAUAUGAUAACCGAUUAUAGUAUUGCAGCACCUGCACACGCGGUUUUGGACCUGCACACCAAUGCUGCACCAGGUUAYCUCUUCGUCUUCAGCCAUMGGUCCAARCUCACCAAUCUACCAUCUUGGAAAGGAGCGACGCAUAAAGACGACACACCCUACGAGUUUGGUUUUCCUUUUAUGAAUCUCACUGUUCUCCAACAUUACGACGAACAUGAUAAAAAUGUCAGCUCCAUCAUGAUCACUCUGUUCACGAAUUUCGCACGCACUGGAAAUCCUACUCCACAGCCUGUAGCAGGCUGCACAUGGACACCAUUCAACGAAAACAACAAUCCGUAUUUGAACAUCACAGCAAAGCCUGAAAUGCGAAAUAAUUUUCACAUUAGAAACAUUGCAUUCUGGAACAAGUAUUACCCAAAGGUUCUUAACUUUACAUCUUGUAAGAAAACGAACGUACGAGCAUCGACGUCGGGCAACAGUAGAAGCUAUAGACUUGAUUUUCAACACUUGUUGACUUUAAUGAUAAUUUCAUUCAUCGUAGGAAUGCAGUACUUAUAGCGUCGCAGUCUUCAAUGUAUCAUGAAAUAUGUUCACCGAAGGCGAGAGGCACACUAUGACGCGGAUCGCGCGUCAACAGAGAGUUUUGAUGAAGGGAAAUUCUGCGUGAGUUACACGUUAUCCUUGACGUGCUUCAUGGAAGGAUUUGCUCACAUCUUGCCGACAGUGCCGUGAAAGGGCUUGAUGAACAGGUAACUGUGUGGCAGUAUGUGUUAUAAACCGAUAUAGCGUCUCGUAUGCUGAUGAAUUCGCUACACGAAAUUGUACGUUUCAUCUUGCGGAACUUACCAUGAAAGAGUUCAACGAACAGACUACUUUUACAGGGACAAGGUUAAAGCAAUUUGGUCAACUUGAAAUGCUCGUUUCAGGGGCGGAUCCAGGACUUGGACUCAUGGAGGGGUGCUGCGCACAAAGUUAACCCAGGAAGGGGUGCACCUCUUAGAAUCAAAAGGAAAAAACAGUAAAGGUUAUCUUCAAAGUAGGGGCACAAAGUCGAAGCAGGGAGGGGUGCCCACCCCCUGCACCCCUCCCCUGGAUCCGCCCCUGCGUUUCUGGGUGUUGGUAGUUAUUUUGUAUUCACAAUAAGCUGCAGAUAAUUUAUUUAAUACUGCAAUUUGAUUUUUAUUGAUUUUGAUAUAUUUGAGUACAAAAUAUCGGGUAUUACUUGCAGGGUAGCCACACCCGUCAUGUCUAAAUCUGGUCCAGUAAGAUGAUAAUUGCUUUAACCUCAUCCCCAUUUAUACUUCAUUAAUCAUUAAGUAUUCUAACAUUUACAUACUCUAGAAUAAGUACACAUAUCUCAUGGUAUAUACACAUAUAUAUAUUAUAAAAUUAUCUCUAUAUAUUUAAUCAUAUUAAUAGAUAUUAAUUAGCAAUAUGGGUUAGAAAUAGAUCUUUUUCUCAAGGUUGCGCGCUCAUAUAAAUUUAAGAAACUUGACGGGCCACGAUACCAGGACAGGGGCAGUAUAAUAAGAAUUAUCAUACAUUGCUAUGAGAUUUAAAGAAUCGAUUAUUAACUGGCUUCUCAGUUUUACUGAAUUUGCGUUUUUCAGUUUUAUGGCCCGUCAAGAUUGGAUGCGCACGCAACCUUGAGAAAACGGUCUAUUGAAAGGUGGGGRAAAAUUAUUGGGUACCCGUAGUCAGUGGAGAUCAUUAUAAAAAUAGUGUACAUUAAUAUUAUUGCCAUUGUAGUAAUAUUAGGAUUUUUGUUCGUUUAGUAUUAGUAAUAAUAUAUCUCAUUUCCUUGGGCGUACUGUUUUCUAAUUCCGAUUUUAGACCACUUCUUGAACAUUUUCUUGAGAAUAAGUUUGUUUGAGUUGUACAUACUCAUGUGUGUUUUUAUGUGCAAUCAUUAAACAAAGAAACAAUACUCUAGGGAAUGACAUGUGGUCUGAAAUGGGAAAACAUUACGCCCAAGGUAAAGAGGUCUAUAGCUUUUAGUUAUUUAACAAACCCAACAAACAUGAAUCACGAGAAGACUUACCCUCAUCUCAUAAAGCUCGUGCAGGAAUGAGCCCUGCUGAUUCCCAAUCUGGGGGUUGGAAUAAAAGAAUAGACCGUUCUCUGCUCUGACGCGAUGUUUUCCCAUUUCAGACCACGUGUCAUUCCCUAGAGUAUCAUUUCUAGGUUUGCGCUCGGUUGCUCAUGAGAAGAAUAUGGAUACAACUCAAACAAAGAAUAUUAUUCUCAAUGGAAUGACAUGUGGUCUGAAAUGGGACAACAUUACGCUCGAGCGCUCCAGAGCCGAGGAGGUCUAUUGACGCACCCUUGCUCGGUCUUUUGCUCAUCUUUAUGUGAAUAUGGUGCAUAUUGUCUAUAGUCUCCCCGAAAAAGAAGGCUUGUGAAUCAUGCAGUAGAAAAUAUCAAGAAGCUAAAAAUAAAACGUUAAUUUUAAAUACUUCA